CUUCUAAGGUCUCUUGACUGCAUCCAGAAACUCCCUUAUCCCAUAUCCCCCAGAUCCUGUACUUCCUGGUCUUUGUUAAGUCUGAGAAUUAAGCCAUGAGGCAUUACUUGGCCUGAGUGCCUAAGUAAAUUUUAUUAAAAAAAGUAAAUACUCAAAAGUAAUAGAUCUGGGAAUGCAACCAAAAUCUUUUACUAUUUCAAAUAAUUAAUAAAAUGGAAAUUGGACAAUAACAGACCAUGUGUUUGUGUGAUCUACAUCCCUUGGAAAAUGUUCCAUUUAUAGAGGCACCCAUUAGCUUUGCCUGAAUGUGAAGGAAGAUUUAGCAAAAUUCCUGAAAGUAUAAUCUGUGUGCCAACUGUAUCCAGAAUCACUGUGAGUGCCAACUCCAGGGGCCCCAUUCCAGCUACUGAAGUAAAAUCUCUGGGGGGAUGUGGCCCAAGCAUCUGUCCUUUGAGCAAGUUCCUCGGAUGAUUCUUGUUCACAUUCAUGUAUUAGGGUCAUUCAAAGAUAUCAGGGCUUCAAUUAUACCCAUGCUAGAUAAGUAGUGGUUGCCAUAAUAUUUUUCAUCUAAACUUUGGAGAGUUAAAGGAGGUGCUAUUAACAAUCUUUCAGGGAACACAGGUGUAAACGGACUGCCCUGGCAAACCAGAAUGUAAGGUCACCUUGCGAAUAAAUAACUAUCACCCUGUCCAAGUAAGAAUUUGUUCUGCUGUCUUACUGUGCUUUCCCAACCCCCCAGAGCCACAUUCUCAAAGCUCACCUCAUGAGUCCAUGCCUACGAGCUUCCUACUUGUGUUGACUGCAUGUCCUCUACCUGUAGUCAACUUCACCGUGGCAGUCGUUAGUGCAGCUCCAUAUUCCCCGGUCCUCUUCCCUUUGGGACAUAGACAAGGCUGAGCUUUCUGGUUGGGCCCAGUCAUGGGCUAACACCAAGGUGUCAGUGGGGUCACACUCCCUCCGAAGACUGUAGGGAAGAACCUGUUCCUUGCCUCUUCCAGCUUCUGGUGACCGCCAGCACUUCUAAUGACAGCAUCCCUCUAGUCUGAGGCCAGCAUCCUCAAAUCCCUCUGUCCUCAUCUUUCUAUCAUCCACUCUUCCCUGUACGUCUAAUGUCUCUCUGUGUUACUCCUACCAGGAUACAUGUGAUUGAAUUUGGGUGCCCUCCCCCCACCUUGGAUAAUCUGGGAUAAUCUUCCCAUCUCAAGAUCCUUCCUUUAAUCACAUCUGCACAGAUACUUCCUCCAAAUAAGAUAAUAUUUACUGAUUCCCAGGAUCGGGACUUGGUACCUUUUGGGCCAUUAUCUGCUCAUCACAAAUGGCAAAUCUUUGUGGAUGGUGAGAGCAGACAGACAUCAUCAUCUUCAUUUCGCAUUCAAGGCUGAGGUUGAGGUUCAGAGAAUUUAAGUGACUUACACAAGGUCAUGAGCCUGUCUGACGGGAGACAAGGAAGUAGAAAUCACUGUGCAAUUCCCUUUAAGCUGUGCUGAUUCCCCAGGAGGGACCAGAAGAUAGAUGGCAUACAGUCUACCUUCUGGCCUUCCUGUACACCAUUGGACAAUGUGCUUCAAAAAUCUAACACAAAAAUAACGACUCUUGGGGCUGACUUGAUGAUGGAAACAUUAGCCUGUGUAGGACUUUCCUGGCACCGUUAGGAACCAGCAAAAUGCCUGGUGUGGAAAUCUAGGUCCAGCUGUGCCAUUAAUAAGUUGUGUGAGUGUGGGCAAAUUUCUAUGACUUUGUGCUUUUCAGAUUCCUAAUAUUUAAGCCAAGGGGAUUGGGCUAGAAGAUAAUAUGUUAAAAUAUAGAUACCCCUGAAUGUCCACAAUGCACUAAGAAUCUCCAUGCUGGACUAAGAACUUGGCUUACGUUAUUUCACGCACUCCUCACAACCUAAUGAGAGCGGCAUACUUAUUAUGUGCAUUUUACUGGUAAGGCUUAGAAAGAUUGGACAAUUUGAUCAAAGCCACACUGGAAGCUAGUGGUGGAACUAAAUGUGAUCUACCUGUUGGACUCCAAAGUCUUCUGACCUUCUGCCUGCUCAUUCUCAGCAUACUCCCCAUCCAUAGGACUGUGAUACCAUGAUGCUGGCCUGGCACAGGGGUCUUGAACCUUUUAAUGGCCAAAGACAUAAUAUAACUCUCGUGUCUCUGCUAUUUUCCAAGGAGCUAGCUGAUGGAUGGCAGCCAGAUGCAAGAUAGUCCUUUAUUUAGAAUAUUGUGUGAGAGAGAUGUGGUUCUGAGGGAAGCUAGGAAUUUACAGGGAAAAUUCUCUCAUGGGAAUGUCACAGGAAGCAGAACUCUGUGGAGCACAGGCAAAUCAUGGUCUACUUUUAUAAGUUAAACAGCUUGUACUCAGUAAGUAUUUGGGUCUGUUUUGGUCCAUAAAACCUAGGUUCUUUAUCUCUGUGACUUUUGAGGCAGCUUUGUAGAACCAUUGGCAGGUCAGGCAAGGGAGAAGCCCUGGGGGCAGGGUAGUCUCACCUCUACAUUUUGCAUUUGAAGGAACGGAGGCAUAAUUAAAGGAAAUUUAUUUAUCCAGGAAACA